CGGCAACGGAUAUCUCGGCUCUCGCAUCGAUGAAGAACGUAGCGAAAUGCGAUACUUGGUGUGAAUGGCAGAAUCCCGUGAACCAUCGAGUCUUUGAACGCAAGUUGCGCCCGAAGCCGUCAGGCCGAGGGCACGCCUGCCUGGGCGUCGCACGCCGUCGCCCCC
rnacentral:rRNA from 1 species